AGUAAGAAAAGUAGGAAAAUUUCUUCUAUUACAAAUAAACAAGUUUUGGCUUAUAAUGUAUUGCUAUUAAUAUCCGAGCUGCCUCAGAUCAAAUGCCGUGAUUGGCGUCGGAACGCUGGUUCGUCUUCGCGACGUUUCAGCCAAAGUCCGCCUCAGCAAUAUGGGAGGUGGUUCCACCUCAUCAUCGUCUGGCAUAUAUGCUGAGAUUAGCCUGAAAUCUCCGGCGUCGCAUUCUAAAUUUGCCGUCACCCCAUCAGCGUUACUGAAAUUAUGUAAAAGAAAUACCGGUAAUUAAUUUCGGACCAACACACAGUUAUUCUACCUGUAUCGCUGAUCAUCAACAUCUUAUGUCUCCUCGUCCCUAACUCAGAGAUACCGUUACUACUUAGCCACGGUCCCUGGACCAGGACGAUCGGAUCCGUCUUGUUUAUCUGAUAGAAUAUACUCCUUCAGACUCUCCUCCAGAGGGGCUAGUUCAGCGUCCGCGUUGUGUUCGAACAGCCGUUCAAGGUUGAGGGCGGAGUCGCCGAUUGACGAACCGCCUCCAGUACUCGCUAUGUCCGGUAGGACCGGGUCAUUUUCCAUGGUCGUUUGACCAUCCCCUUCCGACAUAUCCAACGCAUCUGGAGCCUGAGCGCCAUCAGCUUUAGCAUUCUCACACUUUAGAGGUGGCCCAGAGUUUCCCCUGACUACCUUCAGGAAGAUUGCAGAGAUGGUCGCAGCUAUUCUCUUCCAUUCUUCUCGAAAGAUGGCUCCAUCCACCUGUUCAGCAUGAUUGCCACCAUAGCGUCCUACGAUUUUGGCUGCCAUCGCUUGCCAAUUGUUUAUAGAAUGGCCUAGCCCCGAACUUCCUACGACUGGGUUAGCCAUCCAUUCACUGCUUUUAGCUGGCGACGGUUUCGUCACCCCAAGAGCAUCACUUGCCUUUAAUGGUCCCAAGGUGUUUCUGUGUUCUGAGCCGACCAGCACAAAGAAGGAGUCAUCUUAACAUACAUCUAUUCCGCUAACUUAAAGGGACGGGGGCAGUUGUAGCAAUAUCUCGUCAGCCAUUUCUGAUUGGUGUCACUCCAUCAUACUCAGAUGGCAGAAUAACGCAACCACCAGUCCAGUUUUAUACCAAAAUCCUAAAGAGCUAAUCCUACUCAUAAUCCAAUUCUAAUCUAUUGCUAAGGUCAAGUCAAUGAGUUGAAAGGCCGCAGGUCAUUUAACGUUACCCAUAAUACACCAACUCGGGGGCGACCUGCACACAUCCCCAAAUUAAGAAACUGAUAAAAAAUUUAAAAGAAAUUUCUGCAAAAAUUUUUAAAGAAAAUGCGAUCAAAUGCAAUACCAUGUUAUUCAUCUGUAAUUUCUUCUAAAACACCGUGAUAGAUACACGAUGAAAGGGUUAUUGGGUAAACAUUUUAUAUAAAAUAAUACAUGCAAAUACAUUUCGUAAUACAUUUUUAUGUAGUGUGUGCAAUCUCAGAGUGUUGACAGCUACAACUGUUGUGACAGUUCACAGUUGUAUACCGUUUCAAAGAGCGCCGACCCUCGCUCAGCUCGUGUAUGGACGAAAUACUUGUGUGAAACUUUGCUGUGCCAAUUAAACUAAAAAUAAAACUAUUUUAAGGGAUACAAAUUAACUAAACUAAAAUAUAAUUUUUGUUGUAGUGAUUUUAAAAUAUAAGUGAAUAUUCCGUAUUCUGUAAAAUAUAAAAUAUGUACAAAAAAUCUAUCUUUCAGUUGUAAAUACCAAUUUUACCAAGCUUGUAGGGAAAACCAAUCAAAAAUCUUAUAUAGAGGCAAAUUGCUUCAAAUAAUAUAAGUGUGAAAGAAAUGGAUGCAAAUCCAUCAGUUUGAAUAUGGUUGUACUACUUUGGUAAGUGUUUGGCCGGGCAGAAGCGUAAAAUUCAAUGUCUAUUAAAACGAAAACAAAAGCGGAGGCAUCGAUGCUGGUAAUAUACAAUAAAGAAGAAAAAGUGGAAGUGGAGUUAACAGUGACUGCUGUCAGCUAAAAUCCAAAUGGAAAAAGCGACUGCGAUUACCGAAAAUGGCGUUCUAAUCGAGCUGGUGUAAACCCUUUCCCUUUUGCUCGGUCGGAAUUUGUAAGGAUAAACUGAGAAAUCGGCAGUGACUAAAAAAUCGAAUGUGCAUUACUAAAAGACUUAUUAACAUUAAAUAAAAAUGUGCUAUAUGUAGAAGGAAAAAUUAACAUAAAUUUAUGUAGUGUACAAAAAAAAAAAAAAAAAAUUAUAAUAAUAUAAGUAAAUUCAAACAAAGAAAAUUGUCUUGAGUGAAUGUAUGUUAAUGUAUUUGCACAAGUUCACUUAUUUAUUUGUAAUAUGUAUAUUUAUUACAUAGUUACUAUUUGAAAAGGACAUUGUAUCAAUCAUUAUUAUCAAUUCAAAAAUAAUCAUAUAAUUUAUAAAAGAAAAAUGCCCAGCGCUUCCUUUACAUCGUCACGUUCAUACGUGCGUCGUUCCCGUCGAAAAGGUGUCAAUCGCAUAGCUUUACCAAAUCGUCCAUCCGGUAACAUAAUGGAUCCUAUGCAGCAAAACAUUCCCGGACCAAGUUCUGCCUCACAUUCUGGAGCAAAUUCCAGUUCUAACGCCGGUGCACCUUCCCUUCAAAAUAAUGACAAUAUUACAAACUCAAAUAUUUCGCCUGCUCCGCUAGACUCAUCGGCAAUUCAAUCACAUUCUCAUUCGACAUCGCCAGUCGCAUCAUGUUCUUCUGCUGAUACAUCAUCGCAAUCAGCUGCAAUUGUAGUUAGCACAUCGUCAGCAACAGCAGCAACGUCAACAGCUGCUGGUGCAGUUUCCUCAGAGAUGUUUGUGGAUGUCUCUGGGGCAUCCUGUUCACAAUCAUCAAAUUCAGGACCUUCUACGUCUAGCGGUAUAUCAGGUUCUUGUUCAUUUGGGGUAGUCAACUCAAAAAACAUGCUUGGAUCUUCUUGCUCUAAUAAUAUAAUAGGAUCGUCAGGUCUUAAUGGAGGAGGAAGUUUUGUGGGAGGUCACCUGAUGGAUUCUGGAUCAAGUAAUACUUGUCCAGGUCCGUCAAGUAGUUCAACUCAUAGUAGUACCGGCAAUUCUAAUAUUGUAAAUCAUACGAGCAAUUGUAACUCACAUUAUUCUAAUUCGGUAUUGUGCAACUCUUUAUCAAAUGUAACGGCAUCUACAUCUGCAUCCGCGACCAAUAGUACACAUCAAUCACCAUAUGAUCUUCGUCGCAAGAUGCCUGCUAAUGGACAUGAUCAUUGGUGUAAUACCAGUACAUCUGCUAUACUUUCAUCUCCUCCUACAACAGUUUCUACAGCCAGCAGCAGCAAUAUUGCAACUUCAAACACGAACAACAGCAACUCGCAAUCAGUUUCUUGUGGCUCACCGCCUCAUCUGGGAGGAAGUUGCAACACCGCAUCCAUCUCUGUUAUGCCAUCAUCAUCAUCCUCAUCAUCAGCCAUUGUGCAUGCGCCAUUAACUAGUGCCACUUUUCCUGUAAAUUCAACCGCUACUGGUGCACCAUUGGGUCCAUCGCCUACAGUGCACAGUUCAAUACCGCAACAACAUUGCAGUGCUCUUCCGAUUGGCGGAAUUGAAGACAAUAAUUUUAUGUUACCAGCUCGCAAGCGAUCACGACGUUUGUAUGCACAAACUGCAGAAGUGCCAUGUAUUGCUGCCUGUACAGGGAGCAUCAUGCUAGCAGGUCCAACUGCAGCUCAAUACUUACAAUACGAAAUGCCCGACGAAGUUCUGCUCGCCAUAUUUUCAUAUCUUCUAGAGCAGGAUUUGUGUCGGCUAUCACUUGUUUGUAAACGUUUUAACACUAUCGCUAACGAUACCGAAUUGUGGAAGCGAUUGUAUCAGUCCGUGUUCGAAUAUGACAUGCCACUAUUUAAUUCCGAACUAUGUAAAUUCGUCUUUGAAAAACCAGAAGAAUCUGAGUUUACCAAUCCAUGGAAAGAGAGUUUCCGUCAACUUUACCGUGGCGUACAUGUUCGUGCAGGUUUUCAGGAUAAAAAGUACUCCGGUCGUAGUAUAUUAUUCUUCAAUACAAUACAAGGAGCGUUGGACUAUCCUGAAGAACGUGCCGCAGCUGCAGCAAUUGCUAGUUCAAGCAACUCAAAUGCAUCUGGAGGUAUUGCUAAUGCAAGCAAUUUUGGUAGUAAUAUUAGUGCAGUAGCGAACAUUUAUGAAGAAAAUAUACAACCCGCGGAUCAUCCAGGGCCACUUAUCUUCCUACAUGCUGGUCAUUACAAAGGCGAAUAUUUGUAUAUAGAAUCGGAUGUAGCUUUGAUUGGUGCAGCAUCUGGAAACGUGGCCGAAUCCGUCAUAUUAGAACGUGAAGCGGGUUCCACUAUGAUGUUUGUUGAAGGUGCCAAAUAUGCUUAUGUUGGCUAUUUGACGUUGAAGUUCUCUCCUGAUGUCACAUCCACGGUGUCUCAUCAUAAACAUUAUUGUUUGGAUAUUGGAGAGAAUUGCUCACCAACAGUAGAUAACUGCAUUAUACGCAGCUCAUCGGUUGUGGGCGCAGCUGUUUGUGUUAGCGGUGUUAAUGCUAAUCCUGUCAUACGCAACUGCGAUAUAAGCGAUUGUGAGAAUGUUGGUCUUUAUGUAACGGACUAUGCUCAAGGAACUUAUGAGCACAAUGAAAUAAGUCGCAAUGCUUUGGCCGGAAUAUGGGUAAAGAACUUUGCCAGUCCUAUUAUGCGAGAGAAUCACAUUCAUCAUGGACGCGAUGUGGGCAUAUUUACAUUUGAAAACGGCAUGGGUUACUUUGAGAAGAACGAUAUACACAACAAUCGCAUUGCUGGUUUUGAAGUGAAAGCAGGUGCAAACCCUACUGUAGUCAAAUGUGAGAUACAUCAUGGACAAACCGGCGGAAUUUAUGUGCAUGAGAAUGGUUUGGGACAGUUCAUUGAGAAUCGCAUACACUCAAAUAAUUUUGCAGGCGUCUGGAUAACUUCAAAUAGUAAUCCCACUAUACGCAAGAAUGAAAUAUAUAAUGGGCAUCAAGGUGGCGUAUACAUAUUUGGAGAAGGUCGUGGGCUUAUCGAGCAUAAUAAUAUAUAUGGCAAUGCUUUGGCUGGUAUACAGAUACGAACAAAUAGUGAUCCGAUAGUGCGUCAUAAUAAAAUCCAUCACGGCCAACAUGGGGGUAUAUACGUACAUGAAAAGGGGCAAGGUCUUAUUGAAGAAAACGAAGUUUAUUCCAACACAUUGGCAGGUGUCUGGAUAACAACAGGCAGUACUCCAGUUUUGCGCCGAAAUCGCAUACAUUCUGGAAAACAGGUGGGUGUAUAUUUUUAUGAUAAUGGCCAUGGAAAACUUGAGGACAACGACAUCUUCAAUCACCUGUACUCGGGUGUACAAAUACGUACUGGCAGUAAUCCCGUUAUACGUGGAAAUAAAAUUUGGGGCGGACAAAACGGUGGUGUAUUAGUUUACAAUGGGGGUCUCGGUUUAUUAGAGCAAAAUGAAAUAUUUGAUAAUGCAAUGGCUGGGGUGUGGAUAAAAACUGAUUCAAAUCCGACGUUGAAACGCAAUAAGAUAUAUGAUGGGCGCGACGGCGGCAUUUGUAUAUUUAAUGGUGGCAAAGGUAUUCUUGAAGAGAACGACAUCUUUCGCAAUACCCAGGCUGGUGUUCUCAUUUCUACUCAAUCUCAUCCAAUUCUGAGACGCAAUCGUAUUUACGAUGGUCAGGCAGCUGGAGUCGAAAUCACCAACAAUGCAACUGCGACAUUAGAGCAUAAUCAAAUAUUUAAAAAUAAAUUCGGUGGAUUAUGCCUGGCGAGCGGUGUUCAGCCCAUUAUACGCGGCAAUAAUAUAUUUAACAACGAGGACGAAGUCGAAAAGGCAGUCUCCGGAGGGCAGUGUCUGUACAAAAUUAGCAGUUAUACAUCAUUUCCCAUGCACGACUUCUAUCGUUGUCAAACCUGUAAUACCACUGACCGCAAUGCGAUUUGUGUCAAUUGCAUUAAGAAUUGUCACGCAGGCCAUGAUGUGGAAUUUAUACGACAUGACCGCUUUUUUUGUGAUUGCGGUGCUGGUACGCUUUCGAAUCAGUGUCAAUUGCAAGGCGAACCCACUCAGGAUACGGAUACUCUGUAUGACUCAGCAGCUCCGAUGGAAUCUCAUACUCUUAUGGUGAACUAAUAUCAUUUAUCUAUUAAUAAAUACCAAUAAUCUAAUAUAAAUGAACUGGACUGAAAAAAUGAAGAUUGAUUCGAAUUAACGAUCUAGCCAUUCGACCCUAUUGACUUUGAUUGAAAAAAGCUAGUAUACGAGAACGUGACAAGGUGUGCCGUCUUUUAUGUCGGUAUAUAAACAUUUAAUAAACAGCGUUUACCUAAACAAUUGAGUUGGUUAGACAUCUUUUGCUAACCUCAAAUUUGUUGAGCUCGAGAUUGAACUGAUUGAAGCUGAUCACUUGGAAUAGGUCAAACAAUCGUUCGAAAGCCUGAUAGCGGCUGAUUUCUUGAAGGAAGUUGUGUGGAGCGAAGUAACAAAUGCAAGGAAGUGGUCUUGAUGUCAACUGGUUUGACUUGGUGGUUGCGUUUUUAAAUUCGAAUUUCAAUUUUUUCAUACUGACAUAAGGAUGGCGGACCCCAUAGGUCCUAGUAGUCCUGCUCGGUAUGGUAGUAUACUUCUUAAUAUCAAAUCUAUGAGUGUCAAUUGAAUUCAAUUUACAAAUCUGCUAAUAACAUUAAAUAAGAGCAUUGAAAUUUACAUAAGCAUAAACUCGAAUAGUUUUUGUUUUUACGUGUUUUCUAUAUUUGUGUGCAUAUUGUUUUAUACACAUUUUUGUGUAUAAUAAAUCGGAAAUUAAAUUUGUCGUAUAAGUUAAACUCUUUGCUUUAAAAUAUAUUAAGUGCUCGUUUCAAAUUUUAUAAAUUAACAUCCUUAGUAUAUUGAUUGACCAUUUAGGAACGAGCCAUCUUUUUUGGUGUUAUAUGUAUUCAUAAAUGUAAGAAAAAAACUUAAGUAUAGAAUAUCUUGUAAUUUAGUUACAAUUUCUUCGUACAAAUUGUAUAGAUUGUGUAUUACAAGUGAAAGUAUAAAUACCGGAAAUAAUUCUAAUCUAUAUAUAAAAAUUUAAUCCGCGCUUUGGAAAUCAAGGAAUGUGCAAUUAGAGACAAUUAAGUGAUCAAUAUUCACGCUUAUAAUAGAAGUAGAUCAUAUUCAUUUUCGUUUAGGCAUUCGCACAGAGUAAAAACACAAAAGCACAUAGUUGUAUAUCCCACACACACAUGCAUAUUGUGACAUUACGAGAGUUAGCCUACACAAUUGAUAAUUUAUGAUCGAAAAACUUGUAGAUUGUCAAACCUAUUUAUAGUUUUUAAUAUAUACAAAGCUUAUAUUUUUAGUUGCAUCAUUUAGGCCAUACAAUAUAAAUUCUUAAGACAACUAUCAAAGCAUUAAAUGUAUUACAUAAAUCCAGUGAACUUUUCGCAAAUUGUUUGCCAAUUCAACUUUUUGUAACACAAAUAAUGGAAAUAAUAUAUUUAAAAAAAUAAGCAUGUAAAUUGCCAUCAUCUCAUGAUGGAUAUAUCAGACACAUAUGUACAUAUAUUUAGCAUAAAAAAAAUGUCCGUCAUGCAAUUAAAUGUAUGUACAAUGUUCUUACAUUAGUUAUUAGGUUAUAAAAGAUAUUUAUCUAUAUAUUAACGGUAUUCGCAUUAUCGCACUACUUGCAUUCAAUAUCAACGUACACACAUAUAUACAUACGUAUUUCAUAGAAUAAAGGGGUAAUUUUGUUUCAUUUUAACCUCAGUUUCGUCCAGUAGAUGUCCACAUAUUUAGUGUGUAGUAGCUGUAGUGUAUGUGAAGCAAUUUCUAAGUAUUACAAUAAUUUUUAAUUUUGCGAAAUCAAAAAUUUUAUACACUAUAUAUACAUAUGUACAUAUAUAUAUUAUAGAACAUAUUGUAUGGAUAUUUAGAUAUGAGCAACUACGGCUCUGCACAAUUGUAACAACUAAACAUACAUAUUUGCAUAUGCAUAAGUAAGGAAUGAGCAAUAUAACGGGGCUUAGCAGCGCACGCGCCGUGUACCAGAAAAUUUUCAAAAAAAAUGAUAAAUAUUUUUUACUCUGCCCCAGCUAUAGUUAUAGUCAAAGUAAUUAAUUAAGAAUACAUAUAUGUAUGUAUGAGUGCCAGAUAAGACACACUAAUAUUACCAUUUGAUAUGUAAUGAAAAGUGACUACAUGUUUUUAAUGUUACCAUUACUAUUUUUAUAUACACAUUUUUUAAUUGUUUGUCUUUUUGUUAAAAUGUUUUUUUUUUUUUAACUAAAAACACAUUUUAUGUGAAUUAUCCUUAAACGUAUGCCUUUCAUUUAAUUUUUCACACCGAAUGUAAAUUCUAUAUUAAAAUGAUUUUUAUGUGCUCCAGUGUGUCAUUUAGGAUUUAAGUAAAGUUAAAUAGAAUAUUAAUAGAAUAAGCUGAUAUGUAUGUAAACGCCAUGCUGUACCAUAAUUAUACGUUCAAAAAUAUCCAAAGGCUGCAUGCAGACUAUCCCGUAUAUGUCAUAGGAACAUUUAUCGAAUCUGUGAACAACAUAUUUGCUUGGAAACAAACUGUCAAAACAUAUGUAGUAGUAUUUCUUUCUUUGGUGAGCUAUCACUCGAAAGUGUGAGUUCCAUAACAAUAUACAAUAACCGCAACUAAA